rnacentral:lncRNA from 1 species
CUGGACCACCGCGUGCGAGUACAACUAGACACAAGCAUCUAAAUGGAGAUCGAGAAUCACAAUUAUUAUAAUCACUGUCGUUAUCGAUAAUCUAAUUAAUGCGACAAAUCAUCUCUACUUAGUAGUAAUAGUAGGUGUAGAUAUUUUUUCUUGAGUAUUGUAAAAUCUAAAUUUAACGAGUUAAUGAUAAUUAGUAAAUAUCGUAGAUCAUGGAGUAGAAGUUGUGUCAUUAGACAAUGGUUUUGUGUUGUGUCGGUGAGUGAGAACGGGGGGAACGUGAUUUACCGGGGAACCGGAGGGGGCGGUUGCAAGUGAAAUAGAGAUUACACAUACACAGACACAGGCUGUUGCUUUACUCUUUUAUUGAAGGGUCCACUGGCCACCGGUAAAUUGACAACAUAGAAUUCUUCUUUUUCUUUUUUUUUUGCUUUUCAGUAGUGAGUGUCGGCUAGCUUGGUUGUCAAAAUAAGAGUCAUGGUGGAUAUAUCUGAUCUAGUCCGAUCUGAAAAGGCAAAGAAAAUAGUCUACUGCACAGCCACUCUGCGA